GACGUAGGGCGCGAGCGUUGUCCGGAUUUAUUGGGCGUAAAGAGCUCGUAGGCGGCUUGUCGAGUCGACUGUGAAAUCCCACGGCUCAACUGUGGGCUUGCAGUCGAUACGGGCAGGCUGGAGUUCGGUAGGGGAGACUGGAAUUCCUGGUGUAGCGGUGAAAUGCGCAGAUAUCAGGAGGAACACCGGUGGCGAAGGCAGGUCUCUGGGCCACUACUGACGCUGAGAAGCGAAAGCAUGGGGAGCGAACAGG
rnacentral:rRNA from 1 species